UAACGUUACCAAACUGUUGCCUCGGCGGGAUCUCUGCCCCGGGUGCGUCGCAGCCCCGGACCAAGGCGCCCGCCGGAGGACCAACCAAAACUCUUAUUGUAUACCCCCUCGCGGGUUUUUUACUAUCUGAGCCAUCUCGGCGCCCCUCGUGGGCGUUUCGAAAAUGAAUCAAAACUUUCAACAACGGAUCUCUUGGUUCUGGCAUCGAUGAAGAACGCAGCGAAAUGCGAUAAGUAAUGUGAAUUGCAGAAUUCAGUGAAUCAUCGAAUCUUUGAACGCACAUUGCGCCCGCCAGUAUUCUGGCGGGCAUGCCUGUCCGAGCGUCAUUUCAACCCUCGAACCCCUCCGGGGGGUCGGCGUUGGGGAUCGGCCCUUUACGGGGCCGGCCCCGAAAUACAGUGGCGGUCUCGCCGCAGCCUCUCCUGCGCAGUAGUUUGCACACUCGCAUCGGGAGCGCGGCGCGUCCACAGCCGUUAAACACCCCAAACUUCUGAAAUGUUGACCUCGGAUCAGGUAGGAAUACCCGCUGAACUA
rnacentral:rRNA from 1 species